rnacentral:rRNA from 1 species
GAUGAACGCUAGCGGCAGGCCUAACACAUGCAAGUCGAGGGGUAUAGUUCUUCGGAACUAGAGACCGGCGCACGGGUGCGUAACGCGUAUGCAAUCUACCUUUUACAGGGGAAUAGCCCAGAGAAAUUUGGAUUAAUGCCCCAUAGUGUUAUAGAAUCGCAUGGUUUUAUAACUAAAGUUCCAACGGUAAAAGAUGGGCAUGCGUCCCAUUAGUUAGUUGGUAAGGUAACGGCUUACCAAGACAAUGAUGGGUAGGGGUCCUGAGAGGGAGAUCCCCCACACUGGUACUGAGACACGGACCAGACUCCUACGGGAGGCAGCAGUGAGGAAUAUUGGACAAUGGGCGCAAGCCUGAUCCAGCCAUGCCGCGUGCAGGAAGACGGUCCUAUGGAUUGUAAACUGCUUUUGUACAGGAAGAAACACUCCCUCGUGAGGGAGCUUGACGGUACUGUAAGAAUAAGGAUCGGCUAACUCCGUGCCAGCAGCCGCGGUU